rnacentral:ncRNA from 1 species
CUGACAGAUGCGAAAGCAUAAAAGAGAAUCCGGUAUAAGCCGGAGCGGUCCCGCCACUGUAAGGAGGAGACCUGUCCAUUAUGUCACUGGGGAAACCUGGGAAGGCGGACAGGACGAUGAAUCCAAGCCAGGAGAACUAUCUGUCA